GGAGCCGUGGCUCAGUGGUAGAACCUGUGCUUGGUGUGCAGAAGGCCCCAGGUUCAAUUCCUGGCAGCUCCA